GCCUGGCUGGCUCAGUUGAGAGAGCAUGUGACUCUUGAUCUCAUGAUUGUGAAUUUGAGCUCCACACUGGGUG
rnacentral:tRNA from 1 species